UCUGCCUACGGGACGCAGCAGUGGGGAAUAUUGCACAAUGGGGGGAACCCUGAUGCAGCAAUGCCGCGUGGGUGAAGAAGCACGCCGGUGCGUAAAGUCCUGUCAGCAGGGAAGAAAAUGACGGUACCUGAUUAAGAAGCCCCGGCUAACUACGUGCCAGCAGCCGCGGUAAUACGUAGGGGGCAAGCGUUAUCCGGAUUUACUGGGUGUAAAGGGAGCGUAGACGGCAGCGCAAGUCUGAAGUGAAAUGCCGGGGCUUAACCCCGGAACUGCUUUGGAAACUGUGCAGCUAGAGUGCAGGAGAG
rnacentral:rRNA from 1 species